UACAGGGGGUGCAAACGUUGCUCGGAAUUAUUGGGCGUAAAGCGCACGUAGGCGGUUACUUAAGUCGGAUGUGAAAGCCCUUGGCCCAACCGAGGAAGUGCACCCGAAACUGAGUAGCUUGAGUACGAAAGAGGGUCGCGGAAUUCCCGGUGUAGAGGUGAAAUUCGUAGAUAUCGGGAGGAACACCGGUGGCGAAGGCGGCGACCUGGGUCGAUACUGACGCUGAGGUGCGAAAGCGUGGGGAGCAAACAGG
rnacentral:rRNA from 1 species